rnacentral:rRNA from 4 species
GAGAAGAGCUUGCUCUUCGAUUCAGCGGCGGACGGGUGAGUAAUGCCUAGGAAUCUGCCUGGUAGUGGGGGACAACGUUUCGAAAGGAACGCUAAUACCGCAUACGUCCUACGGGAGAAAGCAGGGGACCUUCGGGCCUUGCGCUAUCAGAUGAGCCUAGGUCGGAUUAGCUAGUUGGUGAGGUAAUGGCUCACCAAGGCGACGAUCCGUAACUGGUCUGAGAGGAUGAUCAGUCACACUGGAACUGAGACACGGUCCAGACUCCUACGGGAGGCAGCAGUGGGGAAUAUUGGACAAUGGGCGAAAGCCUGAUCCAGCCAUGCCGCGUGUGUGAAGAAGGUCUUCGGAUUGUAAAGCACUUUAAGUUGGGAGGAAGGGCAUUAACCUAAUACGUUAGUGUUUUGACGUUACCGACAGAAUAAGCACCGGCUAACUCUGUGCCAGCAGCCGCGGUAAUACAGAGGGUGCAAGCGUUAAUCGGAAUUACUGGGCGUAAAGCGCGCGUAGGUGGUUUGUUAAGUUGGAUGUGAAAG